ACCUGGUUGGCUCAGUGGGUAGAGCACUGGACUCAGGAUCUUGGGAUCAUGAGUUCAAGCCCCACAUGAGGUA
rnacentral:tRNA from 1 species